AGGGGAUUAGUUCAAUGGUAGAGCACCGGUCUCCAAAACCGUCGAUGGGGGGUUCGAAUCCCUCAUCCCCUGCUA
rnacentral:tRNA from 1 species